rnacentral:rRNA from 1 species
GAUGAACGCUAGCGACAGGCUUAACACAUGCAAGUCGAGGGGCAACGGGGGUGGGCAAUCAUCUGCCGGCGACCGGCGCACGGGUGAGUAACACGUAUGCAACCUGCCCGUCACAGGGGGAGUAAUCGAGAGAAAUCUCGUCUAAUACCGCAUACACUCUUCGGGAGGCAUCUCCGGGAGAGGAAAGAUUAAUUGGUGACGGAUGGGCAUGCGGGACAUUAGCUAGUUGGCGGGGUAACGGCCCACCAAGGCGACGAUGUCUAGGGGUUCUGAGAGGAAGGUCCCCCACACUGGUACUGAGACACGGACCAGACUCCUACGGGAGGCAGCAGUGAGGAAUAUUGGUCAAUGGGCGAGAGCCUGAAACCAGCCAAGUCGCGUGAGGAAGACGGUCCUACGGAUUGUAAACCUCUUUUGUCGGGGAACAAAAGGCGCCACGCGUGGUGUAUAGAGUGUACCCGAAAGAAAAAGCAUCGGCUAACUCCGUGCCAGCAGCCGCCGUAAU